rnacentral:rRNA from 3 species
AGACCCGAAACCCGGUGAUCUAGCCAUGGGCAGGUUGAAGGUUGGGUAACACUAACUGGAGGACCGAACCGACUAAUGUUGAAAAAUUAGCGGAUGACCUGUGGCUGGGGGUGAAAGGCCAAUCAAACCGGGAGAUAGCUGGUUCUCCCCGAAAGCUAUUUAGGUAGCGCCUCGUGAAUUCAUCUCCGGGGGUAGAGCACUGUUUCGGCUAGGGGGCCAUCCCGGCUUACCAACCCGAUGCAAACUGCGAAUACCGGAGAAUGUUAUCACGGGAGACACACGGCGGGUGCUAACGUCCGUCGUGAAGAGGGAAACAACCCAGACCGCCAGCUAAGGUCCCAAAGUCAUGGUUAAGUGGGAAACGAUGUGGGAAGGCCCAGACAGCCAGGAUGUUGGCUUAGAAGCAGCCAUCAUUUAAAGAAAGCGUAAUAGCUCACUGGUCGAGUCGGCCUGCGCGGAAGAUGUAACGGGGCUAAACCAUGCACCGAAGCUGCGGCAGCGAACGUAUCACCCAAGACAACUUUACGGAGUUGACGAUUGACGGAGCGAAGCGACGUCAAAGCGUUCAUUAAAGUCGAGUUGGCUUAGGGAUACGUUCGUUGGGUAGGGGAGCGUUCUGUAAGCCUGUGAAGGUGUGUCGUGAGGCAUGCUGGAGGUAUCAGAAGUGCGAAUGCUGACAUAAGUAACGAUAAAGCGGGUGAAAAGCCCGCUCGCCGGAAGACCAAGGGUUCCUGUCCAACGUUAAUCGGGGCAGGGUGAGUCGACCCCUAAGGCGAGGCCGAAAGGCGUAGUCGAUGGGAAACGGGUUAAUAUUCCCGUACUUGGUGUUACUGCGAAGGGGGGACGGAGAAGGCUAUGUUGGCCGGGCGACGGUUGUCCCGGUUUAAGCGUGUAGGUGUGUGUUCCAGGUAAAUCCGGUUCACUUUAACACUGAGGCGUGACGACGAGGCACUACGGUGCUGAAGCAACAAAUGCCCUGCUUCCAGGAAAAGCCUCUAAGCAUCAGGUAACAUCAAAUCGUACCCCAAACCGACACAGGUGGUCAGGUAGAGAAUACCAAGGCGCUUGAGAGAACUCGGGUGAAGGAACUAGGCAAAAUGGUGCCGUAACUUCGGGAGAAGGCACGCUGACACGUAGGUGAAGUGAUUUACUCAUGGAGCUGAAGUCAGUCGAAGAUACCAGCUGGCUGCAACUGUUUAUUAAAAACACAGCACUGUGCAAACACGAAAGUGGACGUAUACGGUGUGACGCCUGCCCGGUGCCGGAAGGUUAAUUGAUGGGGUCAGCGCAAGCGAAGCUCCUGAUCGAAGCCCCGGUAAACGGCGGCCGUAACUAUAACGGUCCUAAGGUAGCGAAAUUCCUUGUCGGGUAAGUUCCGACCUGCACGAAUGGCGUAAUGAUGGCCAGGCUGUCUCCACCCGAGACUCAGUGAAAUUGAACUCGCUGUGAAGAUGCAGUGUACCCGCGGCAAGACGGAAAGACCCCGUGAACCUUUACUAUAGCUUGACACUGAACAUUGAGCCUUGAUGUGUAGGAUAGGUGGGAGGCUUUGAAGUGUGGACGCCAGUCUGCAUGGAGCCGACCUUGAAAUACCACCCUUUAAUGUUUGAUGUUCUAACGUGGACCCGUAAUCCGGGUUGCGGACAGUGUCUGGUGGGUAGUUUGACUGGGGCGGUCUCCUCCUAAAGAGUAACGGAGGAGCACGAAGGUUGGCUAAUCCUGGUCGGACAUCAGGAGGUUAGUGCAAUGGCAUAAGCCAGCUUGACUGCGAGCGUGACGGCGCGAGCAGGUGCGAAAGCAGGUCAUAGUGAUCCGGUGGUUCUGAAUGGAAGGGCCAUCGCUCAACGGAUAAAAGGUACUCCGGGGAUAACAGGCUGAUACCGCCCAAGAGUUCAUAUCGACGGCGGUGUUUGGCACCUCGAUGUCGGCUCAUCACAUCCUGGGGCUGAAGUAGGUCCCAAGGGUAUGGCUGUUCGCCAUUUAAAGUGGUACGCGAGCUGGGUUUAGAACGUCGUGAGACAGUUCGGUCCCUAUCUGCCGUGGGCGCUGGAGAACUGAGGGGGGCUGCUCCUAGUACGAGAGGACCGGAGUGGACGCAUCACUGGUGUUCGGGUUGUCAUGCCAAUGGCACUGCCCGGUAGCUAAAUGCGGAAGAGAUAAGUGCUGAAAGCAUCUAAGCACGAAACUUGCCCCGAGAUGAGUUCUCCCUGAGACUUAGAGUCUCCUGAAGGAACGUUGAAGACGACGACGUUGAUAGGCCGGGUGUGUAAGCGCAGCGAUGCGUUGAGCUAACCGGUACUAAUGAACCGUGAGGCUUAACCUUACAACGCCGAAG